UAAUAUUCUAAGUGUCAGAGGUUCCG
rnacentral:piRNA from 1 species